CUGCCUUUGAGCCCCUGUAGUGGCUAGGAUUAAGCUCAGGCGCCAGAGCACUUUGCUAGCGCAUAACAGGGGCCGCCUGGCCUUCGCGGGCGGCCCUUUUAACCGGUAGCUACAGGC